GUGAGGAAUAUUGGUCAAUGGGCGGGAGCCUGAACCAGCCAAGUCGCGUGAAGGAAGAAGGAUCUAUGGUUCGUAAACUUCUUUUGCAGGGGAAUAAAGUGCAGGACGUGUCCUGUUUUGUAUGUACCCUGAGAAUAAGGAUCGGCUAACUCCGUGCCAGCAGCCGCGGUAAUACGGAGGAUCCGAGCGUUAUCCGGAUGUAUUGGGUUUAAAGGGUGCGUAGGUGGUUUGAUAAGUCAGCGGUGAAAGUUUGCAGCUUAACUGUAAAAAUGCCGUUGAAACUGUCGGACUUGAGUGUAAAUGAGGUAGGCGGAAUGCGUGGUGUAGCGGUGAAAUGCAUAGAUAUCACGCAGAACUCCGAUUGCGAAGGCAGCUUACUAAGCUACAACUGACACUGAAGCACGAAAGCGUGGGGAUCAAACAGGAUUAGAAACCCCGGUAGUCC
rnacentral:rRNA from 1 species